rnacentral:rRNA from 1 species
ACUCAAAUGAAUUGACGGGGGCCCGCACAAGUGGUGGAGCAUGUGGUUUAAUUCGACGCUACGCGAAGAACCUUACCUGGGUUUGACAUCUAUGGGAAGGCGCUAGAGAUAGUGUCCGUCCUUCGGGACUCAUAGACAGGUGCUGCAUGGCUGUCGUCAGCUCGUGCCGUGAGGUGUUGGGUUAAGUCCCGCAACGAGCGCAACCCUUAUUUUUAGUUGCCAUCGGGUAAUGCCGGGCACUCUGAAGAGACUGCCAGCACAAGCUGGAGGAAGGUGGGGAUGACGUCAAGUCAGCAUGGCCCUUACGUCCAGGGCUACACACGUGCUACAAUGGCUGGUACAGAGGGCUGCCAACCCGCGAGGGGGAGCGAAUCCCACAAAGCCAGCCUCAGUUCGGAUUGUAGGCUGCAAUUCGCCUACAUGAAGUCGGAAUCACUAGUAACCGCAGGUCAGCUACACUGCGGUGAAUGCGUUCCCGGGCCUUGUACACACCGCCCGU